UUUCUUUCUGCCUUCUAUGUACAGACAAGGAAAGUUCUCCAGGGUAUCUUAAAACAAGAAACAAGGUGCAGAACAGCAUAAGAAAGUCACAGCAGGCACUGCCGCCAGCCAGGCUCCUGAUGUCUAGAUUAAUCAAUCCGCAUUUGGGGGAAUCUCCAUUGGAAACUGAAGUUAUGCAUGAAGGAUCCUACCCAACGAUGGAGGGAUUGGUUAGAAACCAAUAACUUCUUCAGCCUCUUCCUUCUCUGCACUUGGGCUAAUGCUUGGAUUUAGGGAGGAAAACUGACAGUUUGUAGGUACACUCAUCAGCAAAGCCGUGAAGACCUGGCUUUAAAUGGAACAUUUCUCAGCUAUUAGAGGUGAAAGCAACUAUAGACAGUGAGCUACAUGAGGUAGUGACAACGUCUCCUCUAUUUCUGAAUCGCCGAGUAUACCUGGCGCCCAAUACAUUACCAAUACAGAAGAAUUGGAUGAUUUUAUUGACAGUAAGGUAAUUUCUAUAGGAGCUGGAGGGAGACGAGCCUCUGAAUGGAAUCCCUAGGGAGAAAGACCACGGAAUUGCUUUAUCCUAGACAAAGGUCCAAAAAUGUCUCCUACAGACAUUGUAAGUAAAGAGGUUACUGUUUGCUGGGAACAAAGACUGUCAGAGUGUGCGAGAGAACACAAGGCUGAGAACUGGAGCCUAGUUCUCAUGCUCUAAUCUCAUGCUUUGCAUGGCUAAAGGUGAUCGUAUUCUAGUAACUGAGGCAUUUUUAAAACCAGGUUUCAGACUAUCAUUGAUUUGAUUCUUAUAACUGGUGGUGAUCUUCAAAACUGGAAGGAUUUGAAUCAAAUGGGAAGGACUUCAUUUCUGAUUUCAUGAGUCAUUACCUGGAAUUCCUAAUUCUGUCUUUGGCAAGUCACCUAAUGGAACCCAAGUUUGUGAAAGGGCUUUGGAUCGAUGUUAUGGACUGAAAGAGCAUAAGAGACUCAUCCUAGGCGUGCCUGCGUGACUCAGUGGGUUAAAGAUCUGACUCUUGAUUCCGGCUCAGAUCAUGAUCACAGGUCAUGAUCUCAGGGUCCUGAGAUAGAUCCCCAAGUCUGGCUCUGCGCUC